rnacentral:rRNA from 1 species
GACGAACGCUGGCGGCGUGCUUAACACAUGCAAGUCGAACGGAAAGGCCCCUUUGGGGGUACUCGAGUGUUGGACGGGGGAGUAACACGUGAGUAACCUGCCCCUGACUUCGGGAUAACGUCAGGUAACUGGGGCUAAUACUGGAAAGGAAUCCUUUCUGCAUCCUGGAGGUUGGAAAGCGUCGGCGGUUUUUGAUGGGCUGGUUGCUUAUCAGCUUGUUGGUGUGGUAGUGGCUUACCGAGGCGUCGGCGGGUAGCCGGACUGAGGAGGCGACCGGCCACACUGGGUCUGACAUGAGGCCCAGACUGCUACGGGAGGGAGAAGUGCGGAAUCCUGCACAAUCGGCGGCAGGUUGGUGAAGAAACGCCGCGUGCCGGAUGACGGUCUUAGGGUUGUAAACCGAUUUCAGAAGGGGCGAAGCUUGUGGUGACGGUACCUGCAGAAGAAGCAACGGCUAACUACGUG